rnacentral:pre_miRNA from 1 species
GAUUUCAACUGAAAAAGUUAUCAACAACAAAGUUGUAUAACUCAUCAAUAUCUAUAACUUUUAUUUUGGUCAUUUCUUCAUCCGAUAAAAUGACAGUAAUAUUGUUCACAAAAUUUGUAUAUAUCUCUUAUAUUUUAUAAAACCAUGUAAGAGAUAUGUAAAUUUUGUGAAUAAUAUUACUAUCACUUCGUCGGAUGAAGAAAUUACCAAAAUAAAAGUUAUAGAUAUUGAUGAGUUAUACAACUUUGUUGUUGAUGACUUGUUCAGUUCAAAUC